UGCNGCGUGUGUGAAGAAGGCCUGAGGGUUGUAAAGCNCUUUCAGUAGGGAAGAUAAUGACGGUACCUACAGAAGAAGCACCGGCUAACUCCGUGCCAGCAGCCGCGGUAAU
rnacentral:rRNA from 1 species